CUGGAUAUCACAGGUGAGGUCUUCAGUUGCUGUGAAUCUAAAACCAGCUGUGUUGGCUCGAUGGUGAUUUUCAUCAGCAGAGACGUGUGCCUGCAGCUUUCCCUAGUGAACCAGGCAAUGAGUCUGAAAUGAUCUCCAUAAAGAUCCAGAUCCCUGUGAGAGAGACGGAGAAACUGCAGCAUGCUUUUCUUGAUUCUCUUCACAUCUUCUGCUUCCCAAUGUGUGUGUGUGCAAGCUCUGUAGGCAAAUGAAGAAUAGUCAUCUGGCAGAAUCAGCAAGUCAUUGGGCCCACCUGUGCAUCUCCUGAAGGCAAAAUGCUGAUCUGGUGUAAGUCUUGUCUGACUGUCUUUGAAGGAUGGCUACUAUAUUACAUUGAAAUAAAAGCAGUCUAGAUGAUCCUUUGCUGGAGCUGGCUGGACACAGCAGAAGAACUGUUAGAAAAAUUGCUUUUCUGAAUCCUUCUAGAGGUGAAGCACUGGGACCUGGAGGUAUUGAGUUGCCCAGGGUCACGUGGGUUGUGGCAAAGGUGAGAGCUGAACCUGUGGUCCUAUGUGCUGAUCAAGGAGAGCUCCAAAAUGGAGUUUUAUAAAUAUGGAGAGGCUUCAAUUUAACAUAAAAACUAAUAAAAUGAAAAGAAAAGAGCUUGGGAAUGAGGGAGGAGGGAGAAGGAUGUGUACGACUGUGCCUCUCACAGUCAGGCUGUUCAAUGACUAAUAACAACUGGCCUUCACUGGAAUGCUCCAGGGAAUGUCUUAUUCCAUCCCAAGCCACUUAAAGAGCUAGUUAAUCUUAGAAAACCCUGAGCCUAUAAUCUAAUGCCCAAAUAACAACAUUUGGCAUUAAGUCACUGUGAGGGGAACACAUAUGUAUAUGCGUGUAUAUUUACAAAUAUAUACAUAUAUAGUGUUUUACUUGUUUAACCUACAUCUAUAUGUAUAUUUAAUAACUCAUGCACACACACACCCUGCCCUGUCUUAAAAUAAUAUGACUGAGUUAGGAGUGGGGGCCUACCAUUGCAGCCUGGAAACACAGCUGAUUUAGAAGGUGUCAUUAACAUUUUAAACAAAAAAAAAUGUUUCAUUUAGAUUAAUAUUUUGAAAAGCUGUGCUCAAGUAGAAAGAGUCAAAGAAAAGCACUUAAACAUUGGCAGAAUGUCCUAAUUUUACCAUAUGCAGAAUAAAAUACUGUUUUCUUUUGAUUUCAUGCCUUUUUUCCCCCCAAAAAUGAAAUAACUUUUCUACAUAAACUUUAGAAAAGAAUAGAGGUUGAUAUCAAAUUUAAAGUAUUUGAAAGUUGGCUAAUUUUCUCUUUUAGUCUGUGGAAAGAAAAAAGACAAAAGAGUUUGCAUGCAAAAAGUUAUAAAAGAGGUGCACAAAAAAGGAAAAUUUGAUUCCCCUAGAUAAGAAAUAUAUUUCCUUUUGCCCCCAUGAUUCAGCUCCCUGGCAUAAAUGCAUUCUGACAGAUAUAAUACAUUUUCGAUCUCACAAAUCACGUUAUUCAAAGCACAGAAGGACCUGCAGCAGAGGUGAGCAGAGUAAGGAUGUGGAGAUCUUAUUACAGCCUAUGGGAGGAGAGUUUCGUUUAAGGACCUUGUAGGUAUGCUGGUUUGCAUCAGUUUGGUAGAAGUUGUUGGUUAUUGCAUGCUUCCCACUAUGGAGGGACCCUGAAGAAGCUGAAACUCUUCCACUGAACGAUGUGGUGUUGUCCUGAGAAAGGACACUGGAAAAUGGCCUAAGAUUGAGGAACCCAAAUUGGCUACCACUUGUCAACAUAACCAUUCAGUCUUCCUGUGGGGGAAAAUGUGGCCAAUAGAACCUUCUCACAGAAGUGUUACAGAGAGAAAGACAAACAUUUUCAGUGCCUUCAGGUGCGGGAGUGAUGGGCAUUGCAGGAAUGCCCGUUUGGAAAUGAAUCUUUCUGUCUGGGGGCAAAACUGGGAUAAUGCACAAAAAAAGUUGUCCUGAGGGUGAUGCAUGGAGAAGAAAGAACAAAAUCCAGAACUGUUGAAUACUGAGAGCUCUGUCCAGCCUCUGCACAACUUACUUUAGGCCUUAUGAGAAGAGAAAUGAGGGAGUGCAUAUUUGCAUUUCUUUUGCAGAGUGGAUAUGUGCAGAACAGCAGCUUUAAUCCUGUAACUUCCAAAGUGUUGAAUGCUUGACUUGGAGAUCUGAGUUACAGUUGUUUGAUGUAUUUAUUACUUUUUUUUUUUUUUUUUUUUUUUUUUGCAUCUCCUUACACAAACACAUGAGAUAGGCAGCAUAUAUUUACAUAGUGGAUUCAUGAAGUUUUGCUAAAUUACUGUGAAAGUAACACUUUUCAGAUCCCGUUCACUCAUUCUGGGCCCACAAAGUGAACAUCCUGCUUUGCACUUCUGCUGCUGCAGUUACAGGUUUCUCUUCAUUUCUCUCUUCCUGCAGCUUUGGCAGCUCUUUCCUGUUUUUAUAUAUUUCCAUCUUUCUCUUGAACUGCCAUUUAAAUGACCUUUCCCAUUCACCCUUAAAAUUCCACCCAACCGAAAAGGAGUCCUGCCUCCAGGCCUGUGACUGUGGCCUCUGUAUCCUUGGACAAUGGGACGGGAAGGAAAAAAAAGGGACAUUCCUGCAGGUCCUCGGUGUGUGGAUAACAAACAGGGCACAGGAGGCGAGCAUGUAAAUCAGAAAUCACUCCAUUAGUUUGUUAAGCAUUUUGGAGUGACACCACACACAUUAGGAGCUGGUGGCCACAAUGGAGGGAUCCCAGCCAUUUGAUAUUCAUGAGAUGGAAGAAGGUUUAAGAAGAGAAAAAGGAAGGGGGAGAGAGGGAUGUGGGCUUUCUAAUGUAAACACCAUUAUCAUUUGAAAAUCAAUUAGCUCCUUGCACUGAGGGAAUGAGGAGACUUAAGGCCCUUUCUGAACUGCUAUUGUGAGCCUGGGUUAUUUACUUUAAUUAAGAGGAGACAGAGUGGAUUAUUGUCUCAAACCAAAGAGUUGGGAAGAGUCAGAAAAUUACACUCUACCUCACUGCACAACAAAGCCGGGGUAAGAGACAGGCUCCAAACCCAGCAAAGUCAGAAAGAAAUUAGCCUUUAAUCUGGAUUUGUCCUACAUAAGGCACAAUCAAAAAGAAGCGAGGUUCGCAGCCUUCUUGCUAAGCACGGAUCUCGAUAUUGCAGUUGCUGUCACUGCCAGUGCUCCUGUUGAACUUUAACAUUUGGUCUGGAAGGGGCUUUUGCCCCUGGAAGGGUUAGAGUUUGAGAACAAACUCUAUUUUGUCCUAAAAUUUGACAGAAUGAAGUGUCAGGUGUUGGGCUGCAGUUCCUCCUGCCUGCUCCAACCCACCGAUGUAGAAAUAUUUUGCUUUAGAAACAAAUAUAUUAAAUUGUUGAUGCAAAGA
ensembl:lncRNA